UAGGGAAUCUUCGGCAAUGGGGGCAACCCUGACCGAGCAACGCCGCGUGAGUGAAGAAGGUUUUCGGAUCGUAAAGCUCUGUUGUAAGUCAAGAACGGGUGUGAGAGUGGAAAGUUCACACUGUGACGGUAGCUUACCAGAAAGGGACGGCUAACUACGUGCCAGCAGCCGCGGUAAUACGUAGGUCCCGAGCGUUGUCCGGAUUUAUUGGGGCGUAAAGCGAGCGCAGGC
rnacentral:rRNA from 1 species